AUUGAACGCUGGCGGCAGGCCUAACACAUGCAAGUCGAACGGUAGCACAGAGAGCUUGCUCUCGGGUGACGAGUGGCGGACGGGUGAGUAAUGUCUGGGAAACUGCCCGAUGGAGGGGGAUAACUACUGGAAACGGUAGCUAAUACCGCAUAACGUCGCAAGACCAAAGUGGGGGACCUUCGGGCCUCACACCAUCGGAUGUGCCCAGAUGGGAUUAGCUAGUAGGUGGGGUAAUGGCUCACCUAGGCGACGAUCACUAGCUGGUCUGAGAGGAUGACCAGCCACACUGGAACUGAGACACGGUCCAGACUCCUACGGGAGUCAGCAGUGGGGAAUAUUGCACAAUGGGCGCAAGCCUGAUGCAGCCAUGCCGCGUGUAUGAAGAAGGCCUUCGGGUUGUAAAGUACUUUCAGCGGGGAGGAAGGCGGUGAAGUUAAUAGCUUCACCGAUUGACGUUACCCGCAGAAGAAGCACCGGCUAACUCCGUGCCAGCCGCCGCAGUAA
rnacentral:rRNA from 1 species